AAUUUGAAACAUGAGAAGAGUCUCUAGAGAAUACAGGAAGAGCGAUGAUAGUCAGAAGGAAAUGGAUUGUGUAUUGUUAAAAAACAAGACCUAUCCAAACAUGCAGGAGUAAUGGAUGAGAUGGAGUGAACAUUUCUGUCCAUGUUUCCUGCAGAAGACCUUGCUCUCACCUGCACCUUCCUGCCACAGACAAAUCUUCCAGCUCACAGAACGGGAUAAUUAGAAAGGAAGAAAUUUUUAUGGUUUGACUUGGAGCCUUUCAUUGCAGUUUAUUUGAUAGUUAGAAGCAUCAGCAUCUCAGAAGUUAAUGAUCUGCCUGAAAUAAUGGGGAUUUUAGAAGAUGGAAUGUUACUAAAUUAAUAAAUAUAAUAAAUAUUAACCAUUUCACUGCAA